GGGGCACUGUCUAAGCUUCAGAGGCUUUUCAUUUCCUUUGAGCUUUAGGCUCCCGUUCUGGAAUCGUGCCUGCUGGUACUCAGGGACGGAGAGAGCUCCCCAGGACAGCCAGCUGUGGCUCCGGCAGGUCUGCAGCUGCUCCAGAAGGUGAGGGCCAGGUGUGAACGGCGGAGGCCGGGUCUCAGGUCAGAACCAACAAACAGGCCACCAGCAGGUCCCUGGAGGCAGGCGCAGCAGCAAGUACGACCAGGUGCGGGCUGCUCUGGCCGAGAAGGAAGCGUGCAGGAGGCUGACCCCCGCAACACCUCGGCGGCCAUCCGGGCACCUGAGGGUGUUCUGAGGACAGAAGACACCCAGGGAAGUGUCUAAGGGUUUGCCCCUGGCACACAAACACCCGUCUGCAGACCAGCCCGUUGCUUCUCAGGUGCCCGGAAGCCCAUUUCCCUCCAGCCUCUGGCCUGGCCUGCAGUUCGUGAGCUCAGCCCUGGAGGCCUUGGCUCUGUACGCCCUCCGCCCCAUAUCCCGCGGCAGGACAACGCCCCAGGCCUGGAUCCUCUGGAUGGCCCCCUCCGUCGUCGGUGCUCACCGAAAGCCUCACCUGCCGCUGGGCUGCCUCCCAGAAUCUGCCCUCACCCCCCAGACUAUGGGGCCUUUGGACUCAGCUGACAGAGGCCAGUGCCCAGACCAGCACCUCCGGGGGCCCUGCCACCUCUGCUCGCCCACAGCUGACACACAGGUCUGGUCAGGGUGAGGGUCGCCAAGCUACCAGCGGAGCCCUGGACCAAGCAUUGUUCUCCAAAGACCAGGACACGGAUCCGCACUGCCAGCAUUCCUGGGGUACGAGCCCAGGUGCCUCUCCAUCCAUUCCAGACCAAAUUUGAUGCAACCAAAGACCAGCAGGCUGCGGCCAAGCCCUGCCCGGGGCCUCGGGCGGUGUGACCAUUCUGCCACCGUACUCGCAGGCAGCACAGGGAGACCCAUCAGGGCUGCACCUCGGGCCAACUCAGUUCUCCCUGCGGGGCCAGGAGCAUGGGCCCAGCCUCUGAGCCGCCCUCACAGGCUGCAGGGCACCACACACCAGCCUGACUCCCAGAGCCUGUCCCCAUCUGGUACAGUCACAUGCUAGAGUACUUCCUGCCCUACUGGUCAGGGUCCCAGCAGGAGGCAGAUGGCACCCAGGGGGGGUAAUCUCAGAUUAGGAAGCGUGCGCCACCGUGGGCACCUCCAGGAGGGGAGGUGCCUGGCAGAGACUCCAACGCUCCAGGAAGGCCACACACACCGGACACAGAAGGGGCAGAGCUGCUCACCAGGCCCACCCCACCCCCUUUCCCUCCUCUGCCCUUUUCUGGAAUGCAGGCUGGCAGGUACAGGUCCCUGGGGAGAGUCCCACUGUCCAGUAGCUACAGUUUGCCACUCGGAAGUGGGGGGAAGCCACACCAGCGACCCUCCCAGCCUGCAUGCAGCUGGCGGUGAGCAGGGCAGCCCCCGGGGCACCGAGGGAGCAGACGGUUCUUGGGUUUGGCCACAGCUCCUUGGCACCUCUUGUCCAUUUUGUGUGCACAUUUACGUCGUGUCGUGAAAUAAACACUCCACUGGCAAACAGACUCUUCUUUACUGCAGGACCCAGGGUACCACCAAGGCCCCAAUACACAGGCCUUACUCACUAAGCAGUUCAUAUCCCGUUUUUUGUGUCGUUUUGGAGAGACGUUAACAUGUGAGCCCAAGGUGCUCCUGGUGCACAGCAAACGAGCCACCAGCAGAGACUGGCCUUGUGAGACUUUUAAAUUGCAGACUGUACGUUCACGUCCUCCUGAGAAAGCAUCCUCUUCCCCCUGAGAGAUACUCGGCACAGUUGAGACACCCAGGGACAGCUUAGGGACUUCGUCAGCCCUGACGUCCAGACCCCAGGCACAGUCCCCAACAACAGCUGGCCAGGCUGUGGGGCAGCAGGAGGUAUAGGUUCCUUCCCGGCGUAGAGACCUGAGUGGAUAGUGACCAGCAUGGAGCUUCUGGAAAAGGGAGGCCCAGCAUCAGAUUCUGGGCUGUGGUCUGGGAUGCCCCACAUCUCUGGUGCCAAGGGCCAGGCAGGAGUGAGGCCCCUGCCAACUGGACCAGUUCAGGGCUCUGCCACGGGGGACCUCUGCAGGACAUCCCUGUCCAGCAUCACUGGGCCCAGCAGCCCCCUGCGGAAGGUCUGGAGGAAGUCUCGGGCUGCCGCAGGGUAGUUGGGCUGGAUGACGUUCACGUCACCUGGGGGAGAGAAGAGGGUCUGGUGAGGAAGGCACCUCCCCACGGGGCAGGUGCAGGAUUCAGACGCACGCCUCCCUGCCCGUCCUCAGGGACGGACGGUGGGCACCUGUGGAGCCUGGGCACGAGCACGUGUUCUGAAAGAAAACACAAGAGUCUGGGCUGUGGCGCCUCGACCUCGGCAGGUUUCAAACCGGUGGGACGCAGGGUAUAUCCAGCGCCAAGAGGCAGGGCCGCCUUGCCGUCUACAGGCUGGACCGAGAGCCCGCCCCUCUGCAG
rnacentral:lncRNA from 1 species